rnacentral:lncRNA from 1 species
UAGCCAUAUUAUUAAAAUAGGUGUCAAUAUUAUUUUGUAAUAUUUCCUGACUUUGUUUAUGUAUUUGUAUUUGAUUAACUAUAAUAAAAAUAUGAUUGCUUAUAUAUUUCAUAUUCUGCGAACUCAAAUAACGAUAAAAAUAGAAUAUGUCAAAAUCCAGCCUACGGAUUCUGAUAUAGUAAUAUCAAUUAUUCUGUUAUUUCUAAUUGUUAUUGGUUAUUUACGUCAGUACUUGGUUAAUUAUCUGAAUAAAUGUUAAACUCAAUUAUUACCUCCAUACGUAAAAAACCUAAAACCCAAUGAAAAUCCUAAGCAUUAGAUCCAAAGGGUAAAUUCUUAUCCCAAAUAAUAUACCCACAAGUCUAAACCCAAAAAAUAAACAUGAAACACUGAACCCAGAAUAAAUCGUGAACCCAAACUCAUAAGAUAAACUCUAACCCUUAAAUCCUAAACCCUAAGGAAAAACACUAAAUCCAAAGGAUAAACACUAAACCCUAACACCAACGAUAAAAUCUACUCCAAAAGAUGAACCUUAACCUUGUAUCAGAAAUAGACCCUAAACCCAAAGGUUAAACCCUUAACCAAAAACCCAAAGGAUAAAUCAUAAACCCAAAAUCAUAUGAUAAACACUAAAUCCAGAGGAUAAACACUAAACCCUAAACCCAAAGGUAAACCCUACUCCAAAGGAUGAACCUUAACCAUGUAUCCGAAGGAUAAACCUUAUACACCAAAUUGUAAAGCUUAAUAUAAAUCAUAAAAAAAAAAAAUCAGGAUAAUAGUUAGAGGAAUAAAAAAUAUCCAGUUAAAAUAUAAAAUUAAGUACCGAUUACACUCUCAUGUCUCAUGAUGAUUCUAUGACUCUAGGUUUGAGUUAUCAAUUAAACUUUCGUGCUAUUCGAACUACUUUAGAUCUUAGUAUGACAAUUAAUCCUCAUGCAGAAUUCAAUGAAUAACCCUAGCAAUCCUAUGAUUAGAAAUUUGGCAUUAAGCUCAUGAAAUCCCUAAGUCUAGGUUUGGCA